rnacentral:lncRNA from 1 species
AGGCCUCUUUAGUUAUUGAGUUUGGCAGGUUCCUGGUGAGUGUGCCCGGGCAUGGUAAUCAGCUCUCAAUUACUCUUCAUCUCUCCCAAGGAAACCACGUGCACAGAAGAGUUCUCUCUGCAUAGAGCCCCCUUGGGAACUGGAGGACUUAUCAAUGUGACACACAAAGAGCGGAGGAUUCAGAAGUCCUUCUGGCACCAGCUCUGGGAAAUACAGUCUUCUCAAGGUGGAUUGAGCUCAAGAAACAUGGCUCCUAUUUCCACUAUCCCAUGACUCCUCCAAAGAAGACCAUGACUUUCUGGAAAAGGGGAGUCUUCAGCUCCAUGGCCUUACAGACGAGAAUGUUAAAGCAGGAAAAAAAUACGCACAGCAAGUCAGUGGCAGAUCCAGGGCUAUCCCAGUAAUCCUGAAUCUCAGUUUUCUGCCUACUAUUUCACCUGCCUUUAUAAAUGUUUUUGAAGCUAAAAUAAUUACAGUCAUCCUCCAAAAACCUCAUCAUAAAAUUGUAGAGCUGGGAUAGACCUGAAAAGUUUCUUCCAUUGCUGUCUGAUGGGCUGAAUUAUGGCACCCUAAGAUGCCUGAGUCCCAGAACUGGUGAAUAUUAUUUUGUAUUAGAAAGAGUCUUUGCACAAUGAUGAAGAAUUUGGAGCAGAAAAGAUUAUUCUGUAUUAUUUGAGUGGACAUGAUAUAAUCACAAGAGUCCUUAUAAGAGGAAACAGAAGAAACCAGAGUUAGAGAGGGGCCAUGUGAAAAUGGAAGUGGUAACUGGAUGAUGGGCUUUGAAGAUGGAGGAAGGAGACACAAGCCUAGGAAUGCGAGUCACCUGUAGAAGCUGGAAAACUCAAGGAAACAAACUCCUCUAACGCCUCCAGAGGGAACCAGCCCAGUGACACCUUG